AUUGAACGCUGGCGGCAUGCCUUACACAUGCAAGUCGAACGGCAGCACGGGGGCAACCCUGGUGGCGAGUGGCGAACGGGUGAGUAAUGCAUCGGAACGUGUCCUCUUGUGGGGAUAACCAGUCGAAAGAUUGGCUAAUACCGCAUGAGAUCGAGAGAUGAAAGCGGGGGACCCGAGGGUAACUUCGGGCCUCGCGCGAGAGGAGCGGCCGAUGCCGGAUUAGCUAGUUGGUGGGGUAAGAGCCUACCAAGGCGACGAUCCGUAGCUGGUCUGAGAGGACGACCAGCCACACUGGGACUGAGACACGGCCCAGACUCCUACGGGAGGCAGCAGUGGGGAAUUUUGGACAAUGGGCGAAAGCCUGACGCAGCGACGCCGCGUGGGGGAUGAAGGUCUUCGG
rnacentral:rRNA from 1 species